rnacentral:lncRNA from 1 species
CUUGUGUGGUGUUAACCAAGUUUGAGCACCAGCAUUCCUAAUGUGCAUUGGCCAAUAUCCUGUCUUCUGCUCAUAUAUGUCAAUUUUAGCUGUUUUCCAGAUUUCUCAGUGAAGAAAUGUAAAAGCCCAAGCUCACUAGGGAACUGGACAUGUGAAAAACCCUCCAACCUGAAACACUGGGGAUAUUGGUGAUCUAAAGCCUCUGAGCCUGGAUUGUAAUCCCUCUAUCCUCUUGCCGAUUCCCUUAAUCUCAGCACUUCAGUCAGUCGGAAGCUGCCACGAGAGGACAAGAUUUUCCUGGCCACAGAUGCUUUUGGAGUUUCCCUUCUACAGAAGAAUUUCAGGCAGGUUUCCAACAUCUUACAGCGACAAUUCAACUUUGUCCCUGGCAUGUAAGAAAAGUCUCUUCCUGCUUGGAGUUCUACUGGAAAACUAACCCACCGCGGCUGAGAAACACGAUUGCUGGCAAAGUUUCUCUGCAGCAACACCAGGGAAGCUGUCUCCUCCACAAUGAUGGAUCCAGGAUUGAACAAGAUCAGUACCCUUUGGUCACUUCCGCACAAGAGAAAGAUUUAUUUUCAACUCCAUCUAAUUAUUUUCCGGAACCUAGUUUUGUAGAAUCGUUACUUUGUUAUUUUACGGGAGUAUGCUGGGGGAUGGAGUUUAAACUCCUCUAAAACAAGGAUGCAUGAGAACUAUUUCCUCUGUGGCCUAAUUGUCUAAAUCUGACUUUGGAGUCAAUAUUUUUACUGGAUAUCUAGUGCUUAUCAAAGUCGCUUGCAGCCAAAAUAAAAUGUCAGGCAAAGGCA